GACGAACGCUGGCGGCGUGCCUAAUACAUGCAAGUAGAACGCUGAAGGAGGAGCUUGCUCUUCUGGAUGAGUUGCGAACGGGUGAGUAACGCGUAGGUAACCUGCCUGGUAGCGGGGGAUAACUAUUGGAAACGAUAGCUAAUACCGCAUAAGAGUAGAUGUUGCAUGACAUUUACUUAAAAGUUGCAAUUGCAUCACUACCAGAUGGACCUGCGUUGUAUUAGCUAGUUGGUGGGGUAACGGCUUACCAAGGCGACGAUACAUAGCCGACCUGAGAGGGUGAUCGGCCACACUGGGACUGAGACACGGCCCAGACUCCUACGGGAGGCAGCAGUAGGGAAUCUUCGGCAAUGGACGGAAGUCUGACCGAGCAACGCCGCGUGAGUGAAGAAGGGUUUCGGAUCGUAAAGCUCUGUUGUAAGAGAAGAACGAGUGUGAGAGUGGAAAGUUCACACUGUGACGGUAUCUUACCAGAAAGGGACGGCUAACUACGUG
rnacentral:rRNA from 1 species